rnacentral:rRNA from 1 species
AGCCGCGGUAAUACGUAGGUGGCAAGCGUUAUCCGGAAUUAUUGGGCGUAAAGCGCGCGCAGGUCGGUUUCUUAAGUCUGAUGUGAAAGCCCACGGGCUCAACCGUGGGAGGGUCUAUUGGAAACUGGGAGACUUGAGUGCAGAAGAGGAAAGUGGAAUUCCAUGUGUAGCGGUGAAAUGCGUAGAGAUAUGGAGGAACACCAGUGGCGAAGGCGACUUUCUGGUCUGUAACUGACACUGAGGCGCGAAAGCGUGGGGUAGCAAACAGGAUUAGAUACCCUGGUAGUCCACGCCGUAAACGAUGAGUGCUAAGUGUUAGGAGGGUUUCCGCCCUUUAGUGCUGAAGUUAACGCAUUAAGCACUCCGCCUGGGGAGUACGGCCGCAGGCUGAAACUCAAAGGAAUUGACGGGGGCCCGCACAAGCGGUGGAGCAUGUGGUUUAAUUCGAAGCAACGCGAASAACCUUACCAGGUCUUGACAUCCUCUGACAACCCUAGAGAUAGGGCUUCUCCUUCGGGAGCACGAGAUGACAGAGUGGUGCAUGUUGUCCUCAGCUCUGUCCUCGAGAUGUUUGGGUUAAAUCCCGCAACGAGCCGCAACCCUUG